rnacentral:rRNA from 1 species
UGAGAUGCGAAAGCGUGGGGAGCAAACAGGAUUAGAUACCCUGGUAGUCCACGCUGUAAACGAUGUCGAUUUGGAGUUUGUUGCCUAGAGUGAUGGGCUCCGAAGCUAACGCGAUAAAUCGACCGCCUGGGGAGUACGGCCGCAAGGUUAAAACUCAAAUGAAUUGACGGGGGCCCGCACAAGCGGUGGAGCAUGUGGUUUAAUUCGAUGCAACGCGAAGAACCUUACCUGGUCUUGACAUCCAUAGAAUUCUGCAGAGAUGUGGGAGUGCCUUCGGGAACUAUGAGACAGGUGCUGCAUGGCUGUCGUCAGCUCGUGUUGUGAAAUGUUGGGUUAAGUCCCGCAACGAGCGCAACCCUUAUUCUUUGUUGCCAGCGAUUUGGUCGGGAACUCAAAGGAGACUGCCGUUGAUAAAGCGGAGGAAGGUGGGGACGACGUCAAGUCAUCAUGGCCCUUACGACCAGGGCUACACACGUGCUACAAUGGCGUAUACAAAGGGAAGCGAAGGUGCGAGCUGGAGCGGAUCUCAUAAAGUACGUCUAAGUUCGGAUUGGAGUCUGCAACUCGACUCCAUGAAGUCGGAAUCGCUAGUAAUCGUAGAUCAGAAUGCUACGGUGAAUACGUUCCCGGGCCUUGUACACACCGCCCGUCACACCAUGGGAGUGGGUUGCACCAGAAGUAGAUAGCUUAACCGCGAGGGGGGCGUUUACCACGGUGUGAUUCAUGACUGGGGUGAAGUCGUAACAAGGUAACCA